rnacentral:tRNA from 1 species
GCCUGGGUGGCUCAGUCGGUUAAGUGUCUGACUUCGGUUCAGGUCAUGAUCUCACGGUCUGUGGGUUCGAGCCCCGCGUCGGGCU